AUACUCCUGUGGCCUAGUGGUUAGAGCGUUCGUCUCAAAUGCGAGAGGUUGCGGGUUCGAACCCCAGCCAAGUUAUA